GUGCUCAAUUCAGCAGCACAUAUGCUAAAAUUGGAAUGAUACAGAGAAGAUACAUGGUCCCUGUGCAAGGAUGACACAAAAGUUUAUAAAGUAUUUUCUAAUUUUU